rnacentral:lncRNA from 1 species
UCGAUGGAUGAAAGAAAACUGAUGCCUUUACCUUUGUAGAAGGAGAAAAGAAUUUGAAGAUGAGGAAAGCUUGAUGAAGAAGAAAGAAGAUAUAGAUGGUCUCUUUGAAGUAAAUUUCAGUGCAAGGGUAAAAUAAUAAUUUUAAAAUUUUUUUAAAAUUAUAAUUUUACAGUGAAAAUUAUUAAUUAAUCUAAUUAAUUAACAUGUAUUAACCCUACACAA